CCUAUGACAGUGAAGAGGAUCAGUAAAUUGUUUUCAUUCUGUAGAGAGCCGGCGGGUGGUGCAAGCCGGUGUCUGGAGCAAUUGAACUCGCCUUGGAGUCCGUGUAUGUGAAACCAAGUAAGAUACACCGUUUUCCGCGUUAAGGAAUCAAGUUGAGCGAGCAAUCGCUAAUUUGGGUGGUACCGCGGGAGACUCCCGUCCCUUAU
rnacentral:ncRNA from 2 species